rnacentral:misc_RNA from 1 species
CGAGGAGUUGGGCAGCUCGAUGGCUUCGAAUUGCACGGUAUGUCCCUGGUUGUUACACACUUGCUGUAUCUGAGGCACUUCCAGAAGAUUUGCAGAAUCUUUGUGAGGAUGAACAUAUCCCGUAUGCUCCUCCAAAACGCAUCUGAUCCAACAAACCAGCAACGAAAACAUCAGCAGAUUUUGGGUUUUGAUAUGGGAAGUACUCCCAUUUUGCAGCAUCAACGUAAAUCCCGGGACAAAUGCUAUGUAAUUACGAUAACGAAUUACUGAAAUUAUCAUUAACCCCCCUGAUCUGGAAACUACACAUGUUUUAUGUCUGAAUAUCUCUCAGUUAUCUGUGUUUGCAUGCUCAUCUGAUUAACUCUCAUGUAUUGAUGUUGUGUUUAUGUGACACUCAAAUUUUG